rnacentral:misc_RNA from 1 species
UUUCAGGCAGAACGAUUUCAAA